CCCCAAAUCCAUGCCCAAACCACCCACAUGAACCGGCGGACCAAUACACGAAGAUCACCUGAACCCCCAAAUCCAUGCCCAAACCACCCACAUGAACCGGCGGACCAAUACACGAAGAUCACCUGAACCCCCCAAAUCCAUUUUAGUUUAUCAAUCAUUUUGAAAUUUUAAAAUUGUGUUAUGACCAUCAAUUUUUACGUUACUUUCGCACCUGUUGAAUAUUUUAUGACCUUGUAGCACAUGACCAAAAGUAUUAGCUCAGGAUUUCUAUUGAUAGUUUUGUUUGUGUGCUGUUUGGCCAUGUGAUUGUAUGAUAACAAGAUUCAUGUUCAUUGUUGUAUUGUUAAAUAAUGACAGGCAUUCUGCAUUUAGCAUUCUGUGUGUAGCAUUCUAUGUGUAGCUUUCCGUUUUUAGCGUUCUGUGUUUAGCACCAUGUGUGUAGCGCUCUGUGUGUAGCUGUUUAGAGUUCUGUUUGUAGCGCUCUGUGUAGCGCUCUGUGUGUAGCGCUCUGUGUGUAGCUGUGUAGAGUUCUGUGUGUAGCAUGAGCUGUGUAGAGUGAGGUUUAGCAUUCCGUGUGUAGCAUAAUGUGUGUAGUGUACAGGUGUGUAGCGUGAGGUGUGUAGCGUCAUGUUUAUAGCCUGAGGUGUGUCGCGUGAGGUGUGUGGGUGUGUAGCCUGUGCAGACUUCCGUGUGUAGCGGCAUGUUUAUAGCGUCCUGUGUGCAGCAUCAUGUGUGCAACAUAAGGUGUGUAGCAUCAGGUGUGUAGUUGUGCGGCGUUCCGUGUAUAGCGUUCUGUGUGUAGUUGUGCAGCAUUCUGCGUGUAGCAUUCUGUGUGUAGUUGUGUAGCGUUCUGUGUGUAGUUGUGUAACCUCCAGGACCGGCAGGUGACCUCAAAAGAUACGUGUUCACAAUAUGGGUGGCCUUCACAAUAUCACUUGGUCGAUAAAAAGGUAUAUUCAUGGUUUAAUAAUUCAAUACAAUUAUAAUACUUCUGCAUUGUUGGACUAAGAUAAUUACAUCCAAAUCUCAGUAUCCUGUUCACUGGAAAAUAUGAG
ensembl:lncRNA